AUGCAUAUAUUAACGGAGUUUGGUCAGUGACUAACUUGCCUGUGUUAUAUUAAGUACAACAAGCAUGGAGUUUGAGCAACCAGUCAUACAUGAUGAUAGUGCAGAAGAUAUGGAGACAACCAUGGAUUCUGAACCACGAUGGAAAGUGCACGUCGAGGCCCUACAACUCUAUCAAAGGCUUUUAAAAGGAGCAAAGGAUUGAAAAAGCUAGUUGAGUACAACGAGCGUGGCCAGCCAGUAGGACUUGCCGCAACUCAGCUGUGGGGUUAUAUGGGAGUCUUGGAACAACACAUGGUUCCUAUCAUUCACGAGAAGUGGAGUAAGGUUCCAAGGAGUUUGAAAGAUAAGAUCUGGUGUUGCUUAGAGGUAGGGAAAUUCGUUUUACAGCCCCAAAACAAGAGAAAUUUGAUCCAAAAUGUAGGGGCUCUAUGGAGAUCCUUUAAAAGCAGGUUGACUAGGAAGUACAUUAUGCCAUUCAAAGACCAGGCAGAUCUCCAUGUCAAUCCACCGGCGAUGUACAAAUUUAUUGACAAAAGGCAUUGGGAGGCUUUUGUAAAGACAAGAUUGAGUACAAAUUUCCAGGUUCGCCGUGAAAUCCUGUCGACAAGGCGGAAGAAAAACUUAUAUCCUCAUAGGUUAAGCCGAAAAGGAUAUGCAGGUCUUAUGGAGCAAUUGAAAAUAAAAGAGAGCUUUCUUCUGAUGGCCUGGAUAGGAGCAUCUUGUGGAAGAAAGCUAGGGAAGAUAAAAACGGGAUCAUUCCACAUGAGGCUACCAAGGAAAGAGCCGAGACAAUUGACAAGUUGACCGAACAGGUGAAAGAAGGUUCCCUAGUCACAAGCGGCAGCAUUGAUAUCCUAACACUUGCUUUAGGAACUGCUGAACAGUCUGGAAAUGUUAGAGGCAUGGGAAAGUUUGUUUCACAGGGAUCUUACUUCCAUACUGCGCGACCAAAGAUGCAGGAGGAAAGAGAGGCAAGAUUGAGGGUGGAAGCUGAACUUUGUUAAACGAAGCAAAGACUAGCUCGUGUAGAAGAACAAUUAGCUCUUGUGCUCCAAACAAAGGGUGGAUCUGCACCAAGUUGCCACAGUGCAAAUACAGAAUCAAGCUCAGAAAGCGAGAGGAUUUCACGCCUAGAAGCUCAACUUUCCAUCUUCAUGGGGAUUCAAGGAGCUGAAGCCUCGAUAUACACACAUCAAAACCAUUCAGCUGCGAGCAAACCUUCAUCGUCAGCUGGUUCUUCACCAAAAAUGGUCAAGGAUAGUGAGGACAAGGGUGUCGACGAUGAGAUCAAUCAAAAGAUACGUAAUGUUGGAAUUGGGAAGGGAAAAUCUUGUAUAAUGUGCCUGGAAACUUCUGGUUCAUCUAUUGAUGUGGCUAAAGGAAAGAUCUUUCGUUCAAAGAGCUCUGACAUGUUACACAACGUCCGUAUUGGUAAAGGAAAUGUGUGUGUACUUGCAGAAGUGGCAUUAAAGCCAAGCUUUUGUCUUCCCAUUCCUCUUAAAGGCGAAGAGGAAAUAUUCCUUCUAGGAGAGGCGGAGAAAUAUCAUGUUGCAUGGCCUAAAAAGUUGGUGAUAAAAGGAAAAAAAGGCUAAAAAGUUCAUGCAGUGUUAAAGGUGGAGGAUGAGUUAAAUAGUCUGAAUAAUAACGUUUCAGAUAAGUUGGAGGGGAUAGGACAUGGACGAAGUUUCCUUUCCUAUUCAUUUGGAUGACUGAGAUUUCCCCUUUUGGAUGCGUACUAGUAUAUGGUUUCAAUUUCAGUAGCUAUACAAUGUAUGGUCAGGGGAAUUUGCAACUUAAAUUUGCAUUUGCAGUUUAAAGUAGAACUAUUACAGUAGAAAUGUGUAAAACUGUAAUUUUUAGCUAUACAGUGUAUGGUCAGACUCUUAACUGAGAAAUGAAUUUGGUUCAGGCAUUGGAUGAGUUUGAUUCA